rnacentral:rRNA from 1 species
AAACGACUGCUAAUACCGAAUACGUUCCACGGGCCGCAUGACCUGUGGAAGAAAGGGUAGCCUCUACCUGUAAGCUAUCGCCUGAAGAGGGGUUUGCGUCUGAUUAGGCAGUUGGUGGGGUAACGGCCCACCAAACCAACGAUCAGUAGCCGGUCUGAGAGGAUGAACGGCCACACUGGAACUGAGACACGGUCCAG